rnacentral:rRNA from 1 species
GCAUAUCUAUAAGCGGAGGAAAAGAAACCAACAGGGAUUGCCCUAGUAACGGCGAAGUGAAGCGGCAACAGCUCAAAUUUGAAAUCUGGCUCUUUCAGAGAAGAGUUGUAAUUUGCAGAGGGCGCUUUGGCUUUGGCAGCGGUCCAAGUUCCUUGGAACAGGACGUCACAGAGGGUGAGAAUCCCGUACGUGGUCGCUAGCUAUUGCCGUGUAAAGCCCCUUCGACGAGUCGAGUUGUUUGGGAAUGCAGCUCUAAAUGGGAGGUAAAUUUCUUCUAAAGCUAAAUACUGGCCAGAGACCGAUAGCGCACAAGUAGAGUGAUCGAAAGAUGAAAAGCACUUUGGAAAGAGAGUCAAACAGCACGUGAAAUUGUUGAAAGGGAAGCGCUUGCAGCCAGACUUGCUUGCAGUUGCUCAUCCGGGCUUUUGCCCGGUGCACUCUUCUGCAGGCAGGCCAGCAUCAGUUUGGGCGGUGGGAUAAAGGUCUCUGUCACGUACCUCUCUUCGGGGAGGCCUUAUAGGGGAGGCGACAUACCACCAGCCUGGACUGAGGUCCGCGCAUCUGCUAGGAUGCUGGCGUAAUGGCUGUAAGCGGCCCGUCUUGAAACACGGACCAAGGAGUCUAACAUCUAUGCGAGUGUUUGGGUGUCAAGCCCGAACGCGUAAUGAAAGUGAACGGAGGUGGGAACCCGCAAGGGUGCACCAUCGACCGAUCCUGAUGUCUUCGGAAGGAUUUGAGUAAGAGCAUGGCUGUUGGGACCCGAAAGAUGGUGAACUAUGCUUGAAUAGGGUGAAGCCAGAGGAAACUCUGGUGGAGGCUCGCAGCGGUUCUGACGUGCAAAUCGAUCGUCAAAUUUGGGCAUAGGGGGCGAAAGACUAAUCGAACUAUCUAGUAGCUGGUUCCUGCCGAAG